GGGGAAUCUUCCGCAAUGGGCGCAAGCCUGACGGAGCAACGCCGCGUGAGUGAAGAAGGCCUUCGGGUUGUAAAACUCUGUCAUCAGGGAAGAAGAAAGUGACGGUACCUGAGGAGGAAGCCCCGGCUAACUACGUGCCAGCAGCCGCGGUAAAACGUAGGGGGCGAGCGUUGUCCGGAAUUACUGGGCGUAAAGGGCGCGUAGGCGGUUAUCCAAGUCAGGGGUGAAAACCUUGGGCUCAACUCAGGGCCUGCCUCUGAAACCGGGUAACUUGAGGGCAGGAGAGGGGAGUGGAAUUCCCAGUGUAGCGGUGAAAUGCGUAGAUAUUGGGAGGAACACCAGUGGCGAAGGCGGCUCUCUGGCCUAACCCUGACGCUGAGGCGCGAAAGCGUGGGGAUCAAAC
rnacentral:rRNA from 1 species